rnacentral:rRNA from 1 species
CCCGCUGAACUUAAGCAUAUCAAUAAGCGGAGGAAAAGAAACUAACAAGGAUUCCCCUAGUAACUGCGAGUGAAGCGGGAAAAGCUCAAAUUUAAAAUCUGGCGGUCCUUGUGCCUGUGCGAGGUGUUCUCUAGAGAAGUGCUAUGCGCUCUGGAGCGUGCACGAGUCUCCUGGAAUGGAGCGUCAUAGAGGGAGAGACUCCCGUCUGUGAUACGGCCUGCCAGGGCUUAUCUGAUACGCUCUCGAAGAGAGGAGUUGGUUGUGAAUGCAGCUCAUAAUGGGUGGAAUACUCCAUCUGAUGCUAAAUAUUGACGAGAGACAGAUAGAGAACAACUACCGGGAGGAAAAGAUGAAUAGAACUUUGGAAAGAGAGUGAGUCAGUCCGUGAUAUUGUUGAAAGGAAAACGCUCGAAGUCAGUCGCGUCGACCGGUGAUCCACCUUGCAUUUCUUUUCCUGGGCGUCCUUUCCGUUUGACGGGUCAGCAUCAAUUUUGACCGUUGGAUAAAGGCCUCGGGAAUGUGGCAUCCUCGGAUGUGUUAUAGCCCGUGGUCGCAUACAACGGUUGGGAUUGAGGAACUCAGCACGCCGCAAGGCCGGGUUUUUAACCCCCGUUCGUCCUUAGGAUCCGGCCAUAAUGCCUUUAAUCGCCCCUUCUGGAACCCCG